AUGUCGGUUGUGGCCGUCUCCAGUCAAGCGAGAAAGCUGCCACUGAGGCGCCCAGCCGCCCCCUCCACUCAAGCGCGAUGCAUUAAUUUAUUGUCCGCGCCGGGGCCAGGGCGAGAGGAGCAGCUCCCGGCCGGGUCCAGGGACUGGCCGCCUGGCCGCCCGGCAGGGCAGCAGCGAGAAGGGCGGAAAAACCCGGGAGAGUCAGCGCCCGGGAGCCGCCGGGGAAGCGCCUGCGGAACUGGGCGCGGAGGGCGGUGGCGCGUCCCCGCGCAUCCUGAGACUCUGGCUCCUCCGAAGGCGGGGGCGCGGGGCCCCUCCCGCAGUCCUGGGGACGACAAAACGCGGCCCCGACGUCCCGGCCUCCGAUCGGCCUGCGGAGUCCCCGGCGGGCGCGCACUUCCAGCCGGGACCCCGCCCCGCAGCCCCGGGUCAGGUCCGCCGAGUAAGGAGCGCUGGGCUUUUCUUUUGUGUCAGGAGCACCCACGACGCCUCGACCACGGGCGCAGGGGCACAGGCGAGGGUCGUCGCUCCGUCCCGCUACCCCGUCCCCAGCCGCGGGCGCUGAGGAGCCGGAAGAGGGGGGAAAGGGCAGCGGGCUCCUUACCCAGACCAGCGAGGGUAGAUCAGCUUGCCGCGGGGUGUGGCUCCUGUCCGGGGACCCCCGAGCUGAUUACGGGUGGCCUUGUGUAGCCAAGUUCAAGCUCUCCCUCCGGGAAUGCCUGCGGCGGCGGCGCGGCGCGGCGCAGCGCGGCUUCUUCAGGACAUUCAGCAAAGCGGAGAGGCGGGGACCAGCGGGCGGAGGAGCGACGCCCCAGCUGGGAACGCGGCGGGCGGGCGGGGGGUGUUCCCUGGGCGCGCCAGGCCGCUGAGGCUCCGGGGAAAGUUCUCUUGGCCGCGCGAUGGGUGGUGCCCCGGGCGGGAGCAGCCUAGGUGCAUAUGGGCCUGGCUCAGGCGUCUGCAAAAUGCCCUGGAACGAAGCGGACCCCCCACUGCCCAGCACUGGCCGCGGCAGGGGAGCCCCUUCUGGGCGGGGUAUCAGCUGGGGGCGGAGGGCGGGGCAGAGGUGGUCCCAGCGGCGAGGUGCCGGCAAGUCCACGCUGCAAAGCCGCACGCUGCCCCCAAGCCACGGGUCACCAGCGCUCGCUGCGUCCGUUUCCCCGGGAGACCUGGAGGCUGGGUGGGGAGAAGACACGGUGCUGCUCGGACCCCACCGUUCGGCGGUCCCAAUCCCACGCCCUCCGCGCGGUCGGCCGCGUCCAGGACUGAGGGGCACAAUAGCUCUGAAGCUGCAGUGACCCCUGGUGGGUCCUGAUGUCCGUGCACAGGCAGCCGAGGUUGAGCUGCGUAGGAGGCUGAGACCCGCUGGGCUUCGGAGCAGGUGCAAUCUGUGCUCUCCAGCUGGGAACCAGCAGAAGUUAAUGCGAGUCGCAGUUAGGGGAGAAUUGAGGAGACGUCUCCCAGAAAGAAACCUCUAUAUUGAGUUUUAGAGUUAGAGCUUUCCCAUCAGAUGUAGAGUUGACAGUUUUGCUACUUGUUAGCUGGGUAGCCAAAGCUGAAAAAAUUGCGUAAAACCUAGGACGUUAGCGCUUAAAACAAAACCAGGCUUCCGUGGCACAGUAGAAAUGAAAUGAACAAUUGGUUACUUCGACGGAGUUUCGUCUCAUAGUGAUUUGCCACAAAGGAGCUUCUGUAGGAAACCUCGGCCUUCCCUGCUAUUGUGACCCCAUCCAAACACAGGAUCAGCAUAACCGCCAAACUGCAAUAUAAAUUUCUGAACUUUACCUAGGCUGUGAAUAAAACUCUUUUAUCUUCUGAA